AAUUGCUCAGCUGCUCAAAUUUCUGUGAAUGUUUUAUUCCCAAAAAUGUGUUCUUCAGUACCAAAAAAAAUGUUUUAUUCCCAAAAAAAAAUCUCAUCAAAGAUCGCCAACUCGAUGAUUCCAAAGUCACAAAAGUUUAUAAACAAAGGGAUAUAAUUAUAUGUCAAUAGUGAUACGGCUGAUUCAGUUUUACGGUUUUCUUUUCUUUUCAGUAGAGCUAUAUUUGAGACUAUACAGUUAUACAGGUGGGGAUUGUUGUCAGAAUUUUCUGAUGGCUAUUCUCUAUGUGUUCGAUAAUCAUCCCGAAUACUAUGGAGUCGUUGACAAGCUUCAAUCUCGAAAGCUUCCUUCGAUUCUCCUCUUACAGG